rnacentral:rRNA from 1 species
UAGGGAAUCUUCUGCAAUGGACGAAAGUCUGACCGAGCAACGCCGCGUGAGUGAAGAAGGUUUUCGGAUCGUAAAACUCUGUUGUUAGAGAAGAACAAGGACGUUAGUAACUGAACGUCCCCUGACGGUAUCUAACCAGAAAGCCACGGCUAACUACGUGCCAGCAGCCGCGGUAAUACGUAGGUGGCAAGCGUUGUCCGGAUUUAUUGGGCGUAAAGCGAGCGCAGGCGGUUUCUUAAGUCUGAUGUGAAAGCCCCCGGCUCAACCGGGGAGGGUCAUUGGAAACUGGGAGACUUGAGUGCAGAAGAGGAGAGUGGAAUUCCAUGUGUAGCGGUGAAAUGCGUAGAUAUAUGGAGGAACACCAGUGGCGAAGGCGGCUCUCUGGUCUGUAACUGACGCUGAGGCUCGAGAGCGUGGGGAGCAAACAGG